rnacentral:tmRNA from 1 species
GGGGGUGAAUGGUCUCGACUUCGGUCGUGUGACCAGGGGAAGCGAGCCGAGGAAGGCAACGAUGAUCUCGUUAACCACACGUUGCAAACGAACAAGUGCCGCUGAUAAGCAGCACGACUUCGCUCUCGCUGCCUGACGGUAGCUAGGCGAGUCUGUCAGCCCGGGUACGUCAUCGACCCGGAUCCUGGCAUCAUCUAGAUGACUCACCGUGCGUGCCGGUCGCGGACACGUUCGGGACACCUCACAGCGACUGGGCCCGUCACACCGACUCGUCCGCGUGAUCGGUGGGGCCGAGCAGAGGCGUAGCGGACUGCGCUCGGAGAAGCCCUGGGUAUGCGCCGAAGGACGCGGGUUCGAUUCCCGCCACCUCCACGA